GAGCCACUAGGAGUUGGCUCAAGCCCGGGACUGCCUGAGCAUCUUCUGAGUCAGAAAGAACCGAAAAGGAGAGGCUAGCAGCGGCUUUGGAGAAACUCCCAAGUGCCCCCUCCCCGCAAGGAGGCAUUUCUACUUCGGUUAAAUCUACUACUUUUUAGUAUACUAUUGGGUCCUUGAGGCUAAGGACUCUAAGAUGUGCAAAAUAUUUCCUAGCCAUGUGACUCUUAAGAACCUCUCAACAGACCACUCCGUCCUUCGGGUGAGCUCCCAGCAUCCUUUUAAAGAAUGUUAUACCAAGGUAGAAGGAGGAACAAAGCUCUUUUCAGAGUGAUGAUGAAACCAAAGGGUGGGAGAAGAGUGAAUCUAAGUUACUGAAGAAAUGAGCAAGAAGCAUGCGUCAGGGAAAAGAGAUGCUUCUUAUAUUGUCACAACCCUAACCCUCCCCUCACACACUUGAUGCAUUUAUUUUGGAAAAUGCCGUUUUACGCUGAGAGACUGGCAUUGAGGAGUUCGCUCCUUCUCAACUACAUCAGAAGCAUCCUUGCUCUUGGGGAGAAGCUGCGGCCCUUCGGAUCAGACCCCCUCCCCUGGGACGGGCAGCCUCAGCUGUCCUGAGGAACAAGGUGACAGACAGACGGGGCCACGGAGACCUGAAACGAGCCAGCGCUGCUGGACUGAGGAACAUGUAAAUAGCUUCUGCCUUCUUGGUAAACAAGGAUAACCGUCUUUCUUUUGUAGAGGUGAUCGUGUGUAUCUUAUGACUGUAGUGCGUGAAGAAAAACGCAGUGAUCUGCUUCGACGGCUCCCCAGAUGUACCUGUUCCAUGUGAAUAUGCCUGCCUCGUUGCCUCAUGUGCCAAACACAGUACUGAAUGCGUUGUUUUUGAAUAAACUCUUCUAGUGUGCAUUGGGAAA